UCACUUGAAAUCAUAGAACUUAUAAAUCUUGGACCCUCUCUCUGUAGAAGGCAAGAACAUUUGUGAAGAUCCACAGCAGAAGAGCCUCAGACCUUGUAGGACAGAUCACAAGCCCUCUCCCACCUUCAUCACAUCUACUGGUUCCCUGCUUUCACCUGAGCUUCCCGCUCCGUUGGGAUUUUAAAGGCAUAUUGGGUGAAUCAGAGCUGACUCAAGGAUCAUUAAUUUACACUGCUUUUCCCAAUGUAAUAUCCACAGGUUUGAAGAAAGAAUCAUAAUAAUUGUGACCUGGCUCUCCCACUUCUCAUUUGACCACAGUCCAAUUUUUGCUGUGAUUCAUGAAAGUUACGACAGGGAAACCAAAAUAAUCUAAACUCCGAUUAUUCCCUGAAAAGUUCAUCCCCAAAUUCCUAAAGAAAACACAUUUUGUUCAUGCAAAUUUCAGAUUAUGCAAAGGGUCCAGGUGUCCCUCAAGAAAUCUGGAUCAUCAGGCAUAUUUUUGCAACAACAAGUAGGGGACUAUGGGCGCCUCAGUGUUUGGGAACCCAGCUGGAGACACCUUGAGGGGCCCUGACUGUCAGAAGGUCAAUGCUCAGCACUUUUUGAAAGUAGAGCCCCUUUAAGGCAUCUGAAGCUGGGCGCACAAAAAUGGAAGUGCCCAAAAUCACUAGUCGCUCUUGAAAUUUAAGGCUGUAUUUAUUAAAAGUAACUGCUGAGCACCAACACUAUGAUCAGCAUUAUAUAGACCUGGUCCUUGCCCCAAGAAGUUUAUCGUCUAAGAGACAAACAAAGACAACAGAUCAGACACAUUCAUUAUAUAGAGCAGAUUUUUCUCAAACUGUGGGCAGUGUCUGCGAGGGCCCAGAACUCUUCGUCCUUUGUAUUUACCACCUGGAAAAGAAGAAAGUGCCAAUGGCUACUUAGGAUUUUGGACCCCCUGUGCACCUGUCCUGGCUCCACUUGCAGUCUCUCCUUGACACCCAGCCAGGGUGCAGGGAGUGAGCAGGGAUUCCACUGCAGGGACUCUGCCUGGACAUUGGAGGCAUCGCUGUGGUGCUGAUACUGCCCAGCGUGUGUGGUGGCCACCCUCCCCAGCAUGUGCCCCCCAAUGGAACCCUGUUCCCCGGGGGAGGGAUUUCUUGGUCACCCUCCAGCUCCAGUUUGGCUCAGUCUCUCCACACCUGGCUAAACUCAGCAUAGAGACAAGCUCAUCCAGCCUCGUGGGACCUGUACAGUUUCUGAGCUCUCACAAGUACCCUGUUUUCAGGUCUUUCUCCACAGCCAUGAGGGCUAGAAACUUCCUUCUUUCUGAAAUGAAAGCUGAAAUUUGCAUGCAUUCUCUUGACUCCAGCAGCUGGUAUGCUCAGAAAAACACCCAAUAUUGUGAGACCCACAAUAAGAUCACAAGAGCUGGCAAUACUGUGUUGACAGAGCAUUUGCUCUGCUGCCUAACUGGAAUGAUAUCCUGUUCAGAAAGCAUAUUGCUUCAGCAUUACUUAUCUGUGCUGGAAGUUCCGGGUCCCUUUGAGCAACAACUUGUGCCAUCUGUUUCCCUCCGUGUUGUG